rnacentral:rRNA from 1 species
UGGGGGAUAUUGCGCAAUGGGGGAAACCCUGACGCAGCAACGCCGCGUGAAGGAAGACGGUUUUCGGAUUGUAAACUUCUUUUGUUAAGGACGAUAAUGACGGUACUUAACGAAUAAGCUCCGGCUAACUACGUGCCAGCAGCCGCGGUAAUACGUAGGGAGCAAGCGUUAUCCGGAUUUACUGGGUGUAAAGGGUGCGUAGGCGGCUUUGCAAGUCAGAUGUGAAAAUUAUGGGCUCAACCCAUAACCUGCAUUUGAAACUGUAGAGCUUGAGUGAAGUAGAGGCAGGCGGAAUUCCCUGUGUAGCGGUGAAAUGCGUAGAGAUAGGGAGGAACACCAGUGGCGAAGGCGGCCUGCUGGGCUUUAACUGACGCUGAGGCACGAAAGCGUGGGUAGCAAACAGG